ACGUGGGUAAUUGAAAGAUGAACUGAGGUCCACACUCCAGUCGGUAGUGCACCUUAAAAUUGGUUGCCAAGCGCCAUAUAAAGUCCAAAAAACAAGAGUAAGCCUGAAGGAGGAGAGAUUACUAGAAACGAACUCGGUUUACCCUAUUAUCUGUGGAUGAAAUGACGGAGUAGAGGACCUUGCGCAUUUCAGCACUCUGUGGCAUUUCAGAGAAGGCAGGUGGGUACCUGACUCUGACUGUUUGGUCACCUGGCCAGAUUGAACCCACUUCUGGAGCCUGUCCUCAUCCUCUAAAGGCAUCCCCUAACUUACCACGCCCAAGAGGAAAGAAGGCCUAGAGCCAGAUGGUCCAACCAGCUGGAAGACAACCUACACAACCUGGGACUCAACACCACAACAGCCUGGGACCUGGCCCGGUAACUGGAUGGCACGGAGAGCCUAAUAUCCACGUUCUACUCUCCAAGGAGCUAGUGAAGACGGAAGACAGCAGGAGGGCGUGGACCUGAGCGAAAGAGAGAGAGAGAAAAGAGAGAGAGGCUGAAAGCAAAAGGAAACAAGGUAGAAGAAAAGGAAGAGUGGGCGUGACAACAGAGAAAGAGAGAGAGCGAGAGGCUGAUACACACGCUCGCUCGGCAGGAGUGUGUCCAGAUUGCCCUCUGUGUGCGUUUUGUGUGUGUUGAGCAGGUGGGACUUUGAUGGGACAGUGAGCAAUGCCUCGCACGCAGCGACAGCAGGUUGGCAGUAGGGGGCGACGCACUCCUCUGCCCCUCCUCCUUCUCCCUCUCUUCUCCCUCCUCCUAUCCCACACUCCUCAGCUCAGCCAAGCAGCUAUACACAUACCUCCCAACUACCAAAUAAAUGAAUUCAAAAAGCCCCCGGUGAUCACCACCCAGCCUGAGUCCAUCA